CAGUAGCCGCGGUAAUACGUAGGGCGCAAGCGUUAUCCGGAAUUAUUGGGCGUAAAGAGCUCGUAGGCGGUUUGUCGCGUCUGCCGUGAAAGUCCGGGGCUCAACCCCGGAUCUGCGGUGGGUACGGGCAGACUAGAGUGAUGUAGGGGAGACUGGAAUUCCUGGUGUAGCGGUGAAAUGCGCAGAUAUCAGGAGGAACACCGAUGGCGAAGGCAGGCCUCUGGGCAUUAACUGACGCUGAGGAGCGAAAGCAUGGGGAGCGAACAGGAUUAGAUACCCCUGUAGUCCCUGUCUCUUAUAU
rnacentral:rRNA from 1 species